GACAGCAGCCGCCACGGGAAUACGAAGGGGGCUAGCGUUGUUCGGAUUUACUGGGCGUAAAGCGCACGUAGGCGGACUUUUAAGUCAGGGGUGAAAUCCCGGGGCUCAACCCCGGAACUGCCUUUGAUACUGGAAGUCUUGAGUAUGGUAGAGGUGAGUGGAAUUCCGAGUGUAGAGGUGAAAUUCGUAGAUAUUCGGAGGAACACCAGUGGCGAAGGCGGCUCACUGGACCAUUACUGACGCUGAGGUGCGAAAGCGUGGGGAGCAAACAGGAUUAGAUACCCCGGUAGUCCCUGUCUCUUAUAC
rnacentral:rRNA from 1 species